rnacentral:rRNA from 1 species
GAUGAACGCUGGCGGCGUGCCUAAUACAUGCAAGUCGAGCGAACAGAUGGGGAGCUUGCUCCUCUGACGUUAGCGGCGGACGGGUGAGUAACACGUGGAUAACCUACCUAUAAGACUGGGAUAACUUCGGGAAACCGGAGCUAAUACCGGAUAAUAUAUUGAACCGCAUGGUUCAAUAGUGAAAGACGGUUUUGCUGUCACUUAUAGAUGGAUCCGCGCCGCAUUAGCUAGUUGGUAAGGUAACGGCUUACCAAGGCAACGAUGCGUAGCCGACCUGAGAGGGUGAUCGGCCACACUGGAACUGAGACACGGUCCAGACUCCUACGGGAGGCAGCAGUAGGGAAUCUUCCGCAAUGGGCGAAAGCUUGACGGAGCAACGCCGCGUGAGUGAUGAAGGUCUUCGGAUCGUAAAACUCUGUUAUUAGGGAAGAACAAAUGUGUAAGUAACUAUGCACGUCUUGACGGUACCUAAUCAGAAAGCCACGGCUAACUACGUG